rfam:Vigna angularis cultivar Jingnong 6 chromosome 2, whole genome shotgun sequence.
GGUGGACACUUCCAAAGGGAUCGCAUUGAUCUAAGUCUUGCAUUCCCAUGCAGUUCUGGUUUUUCACUGAUUUCGAUCAUGCGAUCCCUUCGGAAUUUUCCAU